UGGGGAAUAUUGGACAAUGGGCGGAAGCCUGAUCCAGCAACGCCGCGUGAGGGAUGACGGCCUUCGGGUUGUAAACCUCUUUCAGUACCGACGAAGCGGAAGUGACGGUAGGUACAGAAGAAGCACCGGCCAACUACGUGCCAGCAGCCGCGGUAAUACGUAGGGUGCGAGCGUUGUCCGGAAUUAUUGGGCGUAAAGGGCUCGUAGGCGGUUUGUCGCGUCGGGAGUGAAAACACUGGGCUUAACUCAGUGCUUGCUUCCGAUACGGGCAGACUAGAGGCAUGCAGGGGAGAACGGAAUUCCUGGUGUAGCGGUGAAAUGCGCAGAUAUCAGGAGGAACACCGGUGGCGAAGGCGGUUCUCUGGGCAUGUCCUGACGCUGAGGAGCGAAAGUGUGGGGAGCGAACAGGAUUAGAUACCCUGGUAGUCCACACCGUAAAACGUUGGGCGCUAGGCGUGGGGGCCUAUUCCAUGGGUUCCGUGCCGCAGCUAACGCAUUAAGCGCCCCGCCUGGGGAGUACGGCCGCAAGGCUAAAAACUCAAAGGAAUUGACGGGGUCAUAGCUGUUUCCU
rnacentral:rRNA from 1 species